rnacentral:rRNA from 1 species
AUUGAACGCUGGCGGCAUGCUUUACACAUGCAAGUCGAACGGUAACAGGUUAAGCUGACGAGUGGCGAACGGGUGAGUAAUGCAUCGGAACGUGCCCGGUCGUGGGGGAUAACACUUCGAAAGAAGUGCUAAUACCGCAUACGAUCUGAGGAUGAAAGCGGGGGACCGUAAGGCCUCGCGCGAUCGGAGCGGCCGAUGUCAGAUUAGGUAGUUGGUGGGGUAAAGGCUCACCAAGCCGACGAUCUGUAGCUGGUCUGAGAGGACGACCAGCCAAACUGGGACUGAGAAACGGCCCAGACUCCGACGGGAGGCAGCAGUGGGGAAUUUUGGACAAUGGGCGAAAGCCUGAUCCAGCAAUGCCGCGUGCAGGAAGAAGGCCUUCGGGUUGUAAACUGCUUUUGUACGGAGCGAAAAGGCUCUCUCUAAUACAGGGGGCUCAUGACGGUACCGCAAGAAUAAGCACCGGCCAACUACGUGCCAGCCGCCGCCGUAA